AGCAGCAGCCACGGUAAUACGUAGGGUGCAAGCGUUAAUCGGAAUUACUGGGCGUAAAGCGUGCGCAGGCGGUUUGUUAAGACAGAUGUGAAAUCCCCGGGCUCAACCUGGGAACUGCAUUUGUGACUGGCAAGCUAGAGUAUGGCAGAGGGGGGUGGAAUUCCGCGUGUAGCAGUGAAAUGCGUAGAUAUGCGGAGGAACACCGAUGGCGAAGGCAGCCCCCUGGGCCAAUACUGACGCUCAUGCACGAAAGCGUGGGGAGCAAACAGGAUUAGAUACCCCGGUAGUCCCUGUCUCUUAUAC
rnacentral:rRNA from 1 species